UACGUAGGUGGCGAGCGUUGUUCGGAAUUACUGGGCGUAAAGCGCACGUAGGCGGACUGUUAAGUCAGGGGGGAAAUCCUGGAGCUCAACUCCAGAACUGCCUUUGAUACUGGAGAGCUUGAGUCCGGAAGAGGUGAGUGGAACUCCGAGUGUAGAGGUGAAAUUCGUAGAUAUUCGGAAGCACACCAGUGGCGACGGCGGCUCACUGGUCCGGUACUGACGCUGAGGUGCGAAAGCGUGGGGAGCAAACAGG
rnacentral:rRNA from 1 species